CAACUUCAAAUCGAGAAUCGACCGCUCUCUAUGCUGAAGAUACUUUCUCUUCGCCAUAACCUAAUAAGCGGUGGUUUGUAAGUUCGAUUUCAAAGUUGCAAAGCUCGAAUCAAUAGAGCUUUGUAGAAGUGUCAAGGAUAGAUAUGCACUUGUUCUUCUUCCUGUCUUCGCCACCGGGAAAUUGCGAGAUAGACAUUCUCCCGUGAGCAAAGAGCGCCAAGAAGACCAGUAAAGCAAUUUGCAGGUCAAGUUUGUAGCUUCAGACAGUAAACUCAUGACUUGGCUCUGAAAGAUCGUUUCUUUACUAAAGGGUAUUAAGAUUUGAGAUUGUUCUUAUGGCGUCUGAAGAAGGAAAAAGGCGUACUCAUCAACAUUAUGAGAAUCUUGUGCCUCUUGCUACUCUGUCUUUGCGGCGUUGUGUUGAUUGCUGUCGUCUGCAUUUUGUUAGCUUGCCGGAAACUCAAAAAGCGUCCAGAACCACAGAAAUACAGAAGCGUAGAGCAACUGUGAAAGAGAAUGGAAGAACUUAAUAGUGGUGAUGAGCCUGCUUCUAACCAAUUUAAGCUAGAGGAGCUUCCGCUCUUUGAGUUUCAAGUGUUAGCUACAGCAAUUGAUGACUUCUCUCUCAGAAGCAAGCUCGGACAAGGCGGGUUUGGUCCUGUUUCCAAAGAUCCACUUAACUUCCUGCAUUGUAUGUAGUACUUGAUGAAAGUGUAACUCCUUCUGAGGUGCUCUUGUGCGAUGAGCGAUCAGCUGGACUUGAUUCCACUGCAUCAACGGUAGUUGAAGAUUUUACACGACCUGUUUGUUUGACGGGCAAGGAGGAUGCACUUGGAAAAUUGGGAAGAUUGCCUCUUAUUUGGUUGUUAACAAUAU